ensembl:snRNA U6 U6 spliceosomal RNA
GUGCUCCCCUAGGAAGCACCUACCCUAAAAUUCGAAUGAUACAGAGAAGAUUAGCAUGGCUAAAGAGUAAAUAAAUGAAUGAAUAUAUAAAAGGAAUUUCU